rnacentral:misc_RNA from 1 species
CGCCGAGGCUGGCCGGAGGGAUCUGGAAGUGGCGCCCGAUGUGGCGGUCCAUCGUCCUGCCCUGCUUCACGAAUAGGGUGUUCGUCUGCGCGAUGAGCGUGCACGGCACGAACAUGGUCGCCAGCAGAGGGAUCACCUUGACGAUCUGCUUCGUCUCCUCCACCUGGGUCACCGUGCACAGGCUCCACCUCGCCGCCGGCGAGCCGUCCUCCUUCACGGCGGCCUUGUUUAGG